GUAUUGCACUUUCCUUCGCCUUA
rnacentral:miRNA from 1 species